rnacentral:misc_RNA from 1 species
UUGCCUAGAGAGAAAAUGAAAAGGUGAAAAAAUGAAUGAGCUAAGAUAGUUUUUUGUCCCAAAAAAGUUUCCUCUACUGCAUUUCAAAUGAAAGAGAUAAAAAAAAAAAUUUUAUAAAAAAUCUUAGUUGAAAAAGUAACAGCCGUUACAACCAUUACAUAAUAGUCGGUAAUGGCCGUUACCUUUAGAUAACCGUAACGACCUUUACAAUUACAAAUUUAAAAAUUCAUUAAAUAACAAUGAUAACAAUAAUGGUAAGCUAAAAAACCUUUAAAUAACAAU